CAUAUGUCUCCAGAAUGAAGAACAGCACAUUUCUACGUAAAGAGAAGUGCAGCACUAGCUUCGGGAUACUUGGUGAGGUCCAUGAUGCAGGCGAUGGUUGCUGUUAUGCUGUGGAGAAAGGGAGGAAUAUUGAUUGAACCAUUUCAGUGGGAAUGUUCCCCAGAUGCACAUACAUCUGCCUGGAGCAGCUGUUCAGUCUUUGAUUUUCAGUGAUUGUGGGAACCCUGUCUGCAAUAUCUUUUUGCAGUAUUAAUACACUUGGUGUCUCUCAGCUGAAGGUCCUGGGGGACUGGUCCUGUUGACCCUCCUAAAUACCCAUAAACCAUGCAAACUUUAAUGUCCCAGAACUUUACCACAAGAUGGCAGCAGUCCUCUCUGCCCACACGCAUGCAACUGCACCACCAACAGAUUUUCAUUAAUGUACCAUUUUAUUAAAUGCACAACUUCCCAGUCACUCUUUCUCUUCACUUUAAUCUUAUGAUGCUGAUUGCCUUGCCUCAAGACAUACCAGCAAUUGCCACUGCAGUUAUUGUCAUGGGACCUGAACAAGAAGUAGUCCGUAAUGAAAGGCACUGGACCAUUUUACCACAGAUCAGCCC